rnacentral:rRNA from 1 species
GGUAAACGGCGGCCGUAACUAUAACGGUCCUAAGGUAGCGAAAUUCCUUGUCGGGUAAGUUCCGACCUGCACGAAUGGCGUAAUGAUGGCCAGGCUGUCUCCACCCGAGACUCAGUGAAAUUGAACUCGCUGUGAAGAUGCAGUGUACCCGCGGCAAGACGGAAAGACCCCGUGAACCUUUACUAUAGCUUGACACUGAACAUUGAGCCUUGAUGUGUAGGAUAGGUGGGAGGCUUUGAAGUGUGGACGCCAGUCUGCAUGGAGCCGACCUUGAAAUACCACCCUUUAAUGUUUGAUGUUCUAACGUUGACCCGUAAUCCGGGUUGCGGACAGUGUCUGGUGGGUAGUUUGACUGGGGCGGUCUCCUCCUAAAGAGUAACGGAGGAGCACGAAGGUUGGCUAAUCCUGGUCGGACAUCAGGAGGUUAGUGCAAUGGCAUAAGCCAGCUUGACUGCGAGCGUGACGGCGCGAGCAGGUGCGAAAGCAGGUCAUAGUGAUCCGGUGGUUCUGAAUGGAAGGGCCAUCGCUCAACGGAUAAAAGGUACUCCGGGGAUAACAGGCUGAUACCGCCCAAGAGUUCAUAUCGACGGCGGUGUUUGGCACCUCGAUGUCGGCUCAUCACAUCCUGGGGCUGAAGUAGGUCCCAAGGGUAUGGCUGUUCGCCAUUUAAAGUGGUACGCGAGCUGGGUUUAGAACGUCGUGAGACAGUUCGGUCCCUAUCUGCCGUGGGCGCUGGAGAACUGAGGGGGGCUGCUCCUAGUACGAGAGGACCGGAGUGGACGCAUCACUGGUGUUCGGGUUGUCAUGCCAAUGGCACUGCCCGGUAGCUAAAUGCGGAAGAGAUAAGUGCUGAAAGCAUCUAAGCACGAAACUUGCC